AUGUGAGUCAUUGUAGCAAUACAAGGCAGACGGCUCAGUAACACGUAGUCAAUCUACCCUAUGGACGGGGAUAACCUCGGGAAACUGAGGAUAACACCCGAUAGAUCAUAAUUCCUGGAAUGGUUUAUGGUCCAAACGAUUCGUCGCCAUAGGAUGGGACUGCGGCCUAUCAGCUUGUUGGUGAGGUAAUGGCCCACCAAGGCUAUUACAGGUACGGGCUCUGAGAGGAGAAGCCCGGAGAUGGGUACUGAGACACGGACCCAGGCCCUAUGGGGCGCAGCAGGCGAGAAACCUUUGCAAUGUGCGCAAGCACGACAAGGUUAAUCCGAGUGUUUCCUGCUUAAGGAAUCUUUUGUUAGUUGUAAAACCACUAUCGAAUAAGGGGUGGGCAAGUUCUGGUGUCAGCCGCCGCGGUAAAACCAGCACCUCAAGUGGUCAGGAGGAUUAUUGGGCCUAAAGCAUCCGUAGCCUGUUCUAUAAGUUUCCGGUUAAAUCCACUAGCUCAACUAGUGGGCUGCCGAAAAUACUGUAGAACUAGGGAGUGGGAGAGGUAGACGGUAUUCGGUAGGAAGGGGUAAAAUCCUUUGAUCUAUUGAGGACCACCUGUGGCGAAGGCGGUCUACCAGAACACGUUCGACGGUGAGGGAUGAAAGCUGGGGGAGCAACCGGAUUAGAUACCCGGGUAGUCCCAGCUGUAAACGAUGCAGACUCGGUGAUGCGCUGGCUUGUGGCCAGUGCAGUGCCGCAGGGAAGCCGUUAAGUUUGCCGCCUGGGAAGUA
rnacentral:rRNA from 1 species